UUGCAGAGCCUAAGGCACUUACUCUUCCAAACUGGCCAGGGCUCAGAUGACCACAGAUGAUGUUCUUCGCCUGAGAAUCGAGUUGCUUGAAUUUCUUCACAUCAGCUGCAGUGACACUAGCAGAAAUGAUGGGGACACCAUUUUCCACAAUAUACCAGAGAUCAUUGUCUAUAGCUUGUAGAUGCAUUUGCAUUUUGUUCUUCCAGAAGGGAAAGUUCUUUCCCUCGUAGGUAGGACAUGCUGCAGUCACCUUAAACA
rnacentral:lncRNA from 1 species